ACGGGACCCAUCCUUCAAAUCUGGGGAUAAGAAGGACGCAUUUGUUGAAACCUUGGAGAUUGGACAGCAUUCGUCACCUCAUCCAGGACGUUAUCGGCCUACAAAUGCGUCCUUCGAUGAUGCAGUCCUGAAUCUGGACCCAGCGAUAGUGAAUGACAUCCGUGGAUCACCUUGUUUCUCUUGUUGGUUUACCUUGAAGCAGCUGAUCCUCUGAGCCUCCCACUCGGACCAUAACUCAUUGCAUGAAGUCUGAUGUGACGGAUCAUUUCCUGUUUGGGAGGGGUCAAAGGUUUCAUCCCGAGAAAUCAUCAGAGGUGAGGCUGGUGUACAGCGAGACAGUGAAGAGGUCAGAGCUUUGACAGCUGCAGCAGGAACCCAGCUGCUCUAACCGCCACAAAGCUAUACUUUUUAAAGCUACAUAAACAUUUGUUGGAUUCUCACGAUCCUGCCUUUGAAAACCUCUCCGACCUCCAUCUGAACCACAGAGCUCUUCACAUGAAAACAACAAGAACCGGCUGAGGACAGCAGACAGGAUGAAGGUGCUACUUCCGUCAGAAACCCACGUCGUCACUGGAGAACGGAGUGACAGGGGGCCUGUUUAUGUAUUCAUUGAAGACCGAAAUGAUUUUCUUUGACAUGACAGCAUGACUCCACCCACGUCUUCGUGAGGUGACACAUGAUGCGAUCUGGAGCUGAUGUGAGGAUAAAAAACAUCUGCAGCUGCAUGCAGGGAUUUUAGGCUGCAGGUUCUGAUCGGUUCUGAAGAUGCAUUCAGCUUAAUUUCAGCCGCUGUUCUGUCGGAGCGGCUGGGCCAGUAAAGACUAAAU